CUCCUGGGCCGGGCUCUCCUGAGCGAAGAGCAUCGGGAAGAGGCUUCCGCGGCAGCCUGCGGCCCCCGCCCAGGCGAAGAGGCCGGGAGGAGAGGAGAUUCCCUUCUGAGAACGUUCAUUGAGCGUCGAUGUGAAGGCCACGGCAUUGAGAGACUUGGUAGAACUGUUUCUGUUUUUCUUUCCUUUAUUGAUCAAUUGAUUGAUUGAUUGCCAGGGCCGCGCUCUGUCGCCCAGACUGGAGUGCAGUAGCGCGAUCUCAGCUCACUGUAACUUCCGCCACCCAGGUUCAAGCGACUCUCGUGCCUCAGCGUCCCGAGUAGCAGGGACUACAGGCUCCCGCUGCCAAGCCCAGCUAAUUUUUGUAUUUUUAGUAGAGACGGGGUUUCGCCAUGUUGGCUAGGCUGGUCUCGAACUCCUGACCUAAAGUGACCCACCCCACCCCCACCCCUCAGCCUCCCAAAGUGCUGGGAUUACAGGCGUGAGCCACGGCGCCCGGCCACUGUUUUUCUUUCCUUUCUCGUAGAGCUGGAAGGAUGGAAGGGAAGUAGUGCUCCUCAUAUCUAGGGAGAGAUUGAAGAUUAAAUGCUUCCUUCCUUCUAGGAAAGUGCUGGCUUUACUGUUGCUAGUGAUUAAACCUCGGGUUUAAUGGGCUAUACAAAUCUAUUGCCAAAGAACAAGGAAGAGGAUGGGGGCUUGAGGAAAGGGCAGAGUGUUGGGGAGCUGGGGUAGGAGGUGGAGAAUGGAGAAUAAUUUUUUUUUUUUUUUUUGAGACAGGAUCUUGCUUUGUCGCCCAGGCUGGAGUUCAGUGGCGCGAUCACGACUCACUGCAGCCUCAACUUCUAGGGCUCAGGUGAUCCCCCACCACGGAUCACCUGACCCACCACCACCCCCGGCUAAUCUUUGGUAUUUUUUGUAGAGACUGGGUUUUGCUGUGUUGCCCAGGCUGAUCUCAAACUCCUGGGCUCAGUGAUCCACCCUCUUCAGCCUCCCAAAGUGCUGGGAUUACAGGAGUGAGCCACCGCUCCUGGCCUCUGAGUUCUUCUCAUGGGAGGCUGAGAAAAGUCUGGGGGUCUGGGACAGCCAGGGCCGGGUUUCCCCUUCCAGGCAAUGAGAAAGAACAGGCUCUGCCUCCCACCAUAAGAGUCAAUCCCAAGUUCCAGAUGUGUCAGGGAAGCGAUGGAGAGCCCCAGACUUGAGGCAUCUGCAGACAGGUUCCUGCUCAGACAUCCACGUGGAGGGUGUUAGUAUCCUGGGAGCCUUCAGAACCUUGAAGCAUGCCAGCAGAGGAGAAUGAGGGAAGAUAAAAUCAAAGUGACUUAUCACAAUUAAGGAAAUGUGCUAUUUCAUGUACAACUGUGUGUGAGGAUGAGAUUCCUACCUGCCAUACUGAGGUAUUAUGAUAAGAACUAAGAGAGUCCAAAUUCCUACAGGAUGAACAGCUGAGGGAGCGAUGCAUUCCUUAGGAAGGAGUUUAGCUUCCCGAAGGAGACGGCAGCUGAGAUAGGUUCUGAGAAAUAGCAUUUUCAUUGGUUCCCCGGGCGCCGUGGCUCACGCCUGUAAUCCCAGCACUUCGGGAGGCCGAGGUGGGUAUCACCUGAGGUCAGGAGUUCGAAACCAGUCAGGCCAACAUGGUGAAACCCCAUCUCUACUAAAUACAAAAAAGUAGCCAGGUAUGAUGGCGCAGGCCUAUAAUCUCAGCUACUUGGGAGGCUGAGGCAGGAGAAUCGCUUGAACCUUGGAGGCGGAGGUUGCAGUGAGCCGAGAUUGUGCCACUGCACUCCAACCUGGGCAACAAGAGCUAAACUCCGUCUCAAAAAACCCAAAACAACAACAACAACAAAAAACAAAAUUGAAUGUUCACUGGCUGAGGGUUAGGGUGGGUGGAGAGAAAAUGCCAGUUGUGUGGAUCUGUUGAUGUAAAACAAAGGCCUAGAGGGUGGUAAACUGGAAGCAGUUCAAUGGGACAGUGCUUGAUGGGACUUUGGAGGUGAUGAGGUUUGAUAUAGUUUGGAUUUUUGUCCCUGCCCAAGUCUCAUGUUGAAUUGUAAUCCCCAGCGCUGGCAGUUGGGCCUGGUGGGAAGUGUUUGGAUCAUGGUGGUGGAUCCCUCAUGGUGGAUCCCAGUUCUCAUGAGAUCUGGUCAUUUAAAAGUGUGUGGCACCUCCCCACCACCUCUCUCUCUCGCUCGCUUGCUCGCUCCUGCUUUUACCAUGUGAUGUGCCUGCUCCCCCUUUGCCUUCCGCCAUGAUUGUAAGCUUCCUGAGGCUUCCCUAGAAGCAGAUGUCAGCAUUAUGCUUCCUAUACAGUCUGCAGAACUGUGAGCCAAUUAAACUUCUUUUCUUAUAAAUUACCCAGUCUAGAUGUUUCUUUAUAGCAAUGCAACAAUAGCCUCUUAUGAGUUUGGAAAGGGAUCUGAGCCCAUAUGCCAAGGAACUUGCCUGCCAAAUCUGGACUUUAUCCUUCAGGCCCUGGGAGACCAGUGAGAGGGUGGCAUAAUCCACUCUUUUGGAAGGGUAAAUGUGGCUGUGUGAAGUGUUGGUAGGGGAAGGCAGGGGGUGGGAGAUGAGCAUAUCUUGCUGCCUCCUUCUACCUGUCCUCCAGCCCCCUUAGGCCUGACCAUGGCUGACUUUGCAUCCGGUAGCUCUGAGAUACAGUGCCUUUGCCAAGGACCAUAUUUGAACUGAUCAUUAAUCAAUUCAUUUUGCAGAUCAUUGGUUUAGGUGUACUCAGGAGACCAACAACAAUAUCUUCUCUUUGUUUGACCCCUCCUGUGUCACAUGUAUGAUCACAGAAGAGACCAUGUUUUUGGAAGAGAAACAGAACUGGCUUUCCAUUGAGGCAAAUGAGGGGGCUGCCCCAUGGUGGAGACACACAGAAGGGUGGGAGAGGGACUCUAUCUUUCAUUGGAAUAGUCUAGUAAGUUACCAGUUCUAACUUGGCAUCUAGGACAUAUAAAUCAUGCAUUUACUUAUCCAGCAACCUUUUCUAAGCACCUUCUCUGUGUCAGGCCCUGUGCUAGGUGGAGCUGGAAGAUAUAGCUCACUUGCUUGUAAGGAACUUGAAGUCUGUGUGGGGGACAAAUGUAUAAACAGAAAAUUACAGUUCACCAUCUUAGUGUUCCAGAGGAAAGAAGCACUUAGUAUGAGGUACCAGGAAGAGGUGGGGAGAAGGGAGUGGCUUUACAUCCUUAAGUUCUGGGUGUUUGAAGAGCAGCCUUAGACACUAGCCACGGAGGUGGGCUUGGGUAGGCCCCGCCGUGGGGUUUGAAGACCCAAAAGAUGUUGGGUCAAGGAGGACAUGGGUGUCUAGUGUGGGAGCAAGCAGAAGGGUGAGCUCACCGAAGCACUGUUUUACCCACUGUACUACGUUUCUAUUGCUGCUAAAACAAAUUGCCACAAACUUAGUGGCUUAAAACAAGGGCGUUAUCUUCCAGUUCUGGAGGGCAGGAGUCUAACUCAGGUCUCCCUGGGCUAGAAUCGAGGUGUCAGCAGGGCUGGGUUCCUUUCUGGAGGCUUUGGGGGAGCAUCCAUUUCCUUGCCUUGCCCAGCUUCUAGAGGCCACCUGCAUUCCUGAGUUCAUGGCUCCCUUCUGUCUUCAAAGCCAACAACAGUGGGUGAGUCACUCUCACAUUGUUUCACUUUGACCUCUUCUUUUAUUUUUCUGAGACAGGAUCUUGCUCUGUUGCCCAGGCUGAAGUGCAGUGACAUGAUUAUGGCUCACUGCACCCUUGACCUCCAGGGCUCAAAUGAUCCUUCCAUCUCAGCCUCCCAAGUAGCUGGGACUACAGGCAUGUAGUACCAUGCUCGGCUAAUUUUUCUAUUUUUUGUAAAGAUGGGGUCUCGCUGUUGUCCAGGCUAGUCUCCAACUCCUGCGCUCAAGUGAUCCUCCUGCCUUGGCCUCCCAAAAUGGUGGGAUUACAGACAUGAGCCACCACACCCUGCCCACUCUGACCCUUUCUGCCUCCUGCUUCCACUCUUAUAAACGUUUGCGAUGACAUUGGACCCACCUGGAUAAACCAGGACACUCUCCCUAUUUUAAGGUCAGCAGAUUAACUUCCUGAAUUCCAUCUGCAACUUUUUUUUCUUUUUUUUUUUUUUUUGAGACAGGGUUUCAGUCUGUUGCCCAGGCUGGGGUACAGUGGAGCAAUCAUGGCUCACUGCAGCCUUAACAACAACUGGGCUCAAGUGAUCCUUCUGCUUCAGCCUCCUGAGUAGCUGGGACUACAGGCACGUGCCACAACGCCCUUCAAAUUUUAUUUUUUGUAGAGAUGGUGUUUCCCUAUGUUGCUCAGGGAAGUCUUGAACUCCUGGGCUCAAGUGAUCCUCCCGCUUUGGCCUCCAAAAGUGCUGGGAUUACAGGCGUGAGCCACCGCACCUGGCCCACAGGCAGCUUAAUUCCCUUUUGCCAUGUAACCCACAUAUUCACAGCUUCUGGGGAUUGUGAUGUGGACAUUGGGGGAGGCACUGUUCUGCCUCCCACACCCACUUUACCUUCAGGGUGAGGUCUCGGCCUGGCCUAUCCUUUCAUGGUAUCUACCUGUAAUCAUGGGGAAAAGCCUUUAAAAAUUAGGCAAGGGAAUUAAAAUCAUCACGAUAAGUAAAAGCAGGCAAGGAACUUGCUGGAGGAGAACAGAGAUAGAAUAAGGCAGAAGUGUCUAUGUAUGGGGGGGGGGAGUCAAAAGGGGUGGUGGAGGUGAUUGAGGAAUAAACAGAUAUGAAUUGCUUAUUUAAGGCUUGAACCUGGUGUCAUGAGAGAAAUGGUGGUGGUCUCAAAAGGGGCCAUGGGGUGGGGCCACAGAAGAGACACGGCCCCAUCUGCAUGUUGACCAUACUCAGGGUGGUGAGGAAACCAGCGCUGUCCUGCAGCUGGGGGAACCUCAGUGGUCUUUGGGGAUGAGCCCUGAACCUCAAGUCAAGAAGUGUGAGUUCUAGUCCAGGUUUCAGCCACGGUGAUUGAGUCAUGCACGUGGGCCUCUGACCCCUCAUCAGUAAACCGGGGGCUGGUCUAGAUGACCCCAAGGCUCUCACAUUCAUUUCUGCACUCUUGGUCUCUGCUGGGCUUCUGGGACAUCGGUUAGUAUGGCCUUUUGUUAGGCACAUGCCAGGACUGGGGCUGUGCAGGUGAUGUGGAAGGGUUCCUGAUUCCCUGUUCCCACUGGAGCCUGCUCUACAGAAGGAACCCCUUGGAUGUUGCUGUCCCGGGCUUCAGCACUCAGAACUCCUUGCUCUUUGUGGCCAUCCCAGCUCUCUCUGUCACGUGAGCCCUUGUCCCCAGCUGAAUCACUAUGAUGAGUUGUAUGAGCUUUGACAACAGGUGGGGGAUGACAUGCAGUCCCCCUGACCCAAAGGAGACUGAAACGAAGCACCUCUUGGCCAGGCCACCACGGUGCCCCACAGCCGCUUCACCGGCUGUCCCUUGUCAUGGCCACGGGCCCAGACCUAGUUCCUCCUCAGUGACGGGGGGUUGGGGCCCCUACCUGCCCUCAGAGCCCUACCACCAGUGUUGGGCAUUGGGGCUAGGCUGGAGCUGGGCUCUGAGCCCAGAGCUGGUGGUGGUUUCCAGGCCUGUGGGAGGGUGACAGUGAGGCUGUGCUGCCGCUAUCACCUCCGGAGAGAGCGGUGCAUGGGAGGUGGAAAGCACUGGACCUGGACUGUGGCUCAGUUGAGGGACACAUGGCAUGUACUUUUACCACACAAGUUUAUUUAAAUAAAAGUGAACACAUAUGCAGGCUGGUGCCCGAGGGGCAGGGGGUGGGGAGGGCAGGUGGGAAGCAGACAGACAAUGGGGUCCAGGCAGAGUUUGUGUGGUGAACCAGGCUGCUGGAGGGAGUGGCUGGGGGCCUCAGGGCAGCGCUGGGAUUCAGUGCUGGGGCAGGGGGCCUUGGGUGGGUGAGCCUGGUGCCAGGAGGUCAUUUCCAUCCCUCACAUGCCCCCCUCCCUUUCCCUGACCCCCUGGGCCUACAGCACUACCUCCUCAGCCCCCUCUCCCUCUCCUGACAUCAGCCUUCCCCUUAGCUACUGAGAAGCCAAAAGACAAAAUAAAUUAGAAUGGGUGAGUCCUACCCCAGCCCCCAGCCAUGGGGAAGGGAAGCCAAGCCAGGCACACUGCGCCGGAGCCCGUGCUGUCAGCUCUGGAAAAGAACAGGUAAAGUGCAAGGAGAAUCCAGUAAGUAAAAAUAUACCAAUGACUUUGUCAAAUACACAGCUGCUGGCUGUCAGGAGCAGGUGGCUGGCUGGGGCGGGUGGCAGCAGCACCCUGGGAAGUGUUGGGCGACACAGCAGAGAGACAACGGAAAUAAAUAGGGUGGGUGUGGACAGGGGUCCCACCAACUGGGCCAGCACCACCCAGGACGGGCUUCUGCCUGCUUUCCGGCCCCAUGCCCCCAAGCCCCCCUCGCCUGGCUCCCCAGUGCUGCAGCACUGACACAAAGCACCCGGCCGACCGUGUUAGGAAAGGACUAUAAUGUGGGAGUGGAGCAGGGAGGGAGGCACGGGGAAGCUGUGCAGUCAGCCAGGGCUGCGGCCGCCCUCAGUACUCGUCCUGGUCUUCUUGUUGAUGCUCUUCAAUCUCAUCGUCCUCAGGGGGUGCGAAUCCUUCCUGGAGGGUGGGAGAGAGAGGAAAGUGGUGGGCCAGGCAGGCCAGGCAGGGCUUCUCAGGUUCUGUAAGUAGCUGAAGAGCAAGGGGUCAGGAGUCCAGGAGCCCUGCUAAUGGGUGACCCUGGGCUAGUGACUUCACCUCUCUCUCAUCAGUAAAUGUUCUCCACGGGCCAGGCCAGACUGGGGAGGGCCCAAUGGGCCUGGGAGUGCUCACCUCUGUGGCAUAGAGGAUGCCAAUGAUGCCUGAGAUAACAGGGCUGUUUUCACUUUCAUGCUCCUGGCAGAUGAGCUCGAUGUCACGAAGUUUGCUGAAGUAGAAGUCACGUUCCUUCUCCAGCCCAUCCACUGUCAGCUUCAAGUCCACCAGCUGCUUGGGGACAAAGUGAUGUUCAAGCCAGAGGUCCCCACCUCAGGUUCCCCUGCCUGCCCUCCUCUCGUCCCUGCAGACACCCCAAGGGCCUGGCUUUGGUGACAGGGCUAUCUCAGCUACCCUUACCCAUCCCACUCACCUGUUGGUUGAGUUCAAGAAUUUGGGCAUCAGUCUCAUGGCCGCCAUUUCGGGCUGAUGGAGGAUUCUUCCGGAGAAUGCAGGGGGGGGCCACAUUGCUCAGCCGGCCAGAGGUCUGCAUGUUUUUUGGGCCUGUGGGGGACGUCCUCUGUGGAACUGCCCAGAGGAAAAGAGUCAGGUAAGUCCACGUGAGCCCACAGCGCACGUGGCAGGAGACAGCCUGGUGUGAGGACUGCGGGGGCAGGCCCAUGCGACAGGCAGGCACUCUCACCCCCCUGCCCCCACCCCAGGAAGGGCAUCUACAGCUAGGCCCCGAGUCUUGGCCACAUGGACACUCCAGCAGCUGGGCAGCCCUUUGGCGAGCCCGGGAGAGCAGAAACUAUAGGGAACUAAACAAGGUGUGAGGUGUUGGGGCAGGGAGAGAGCUGGCCUGAGGGAUAGAGGAGAGAAAUUAGGACGCAAAUUUGGGGAAGUAGAGUUGGAAGGGUGCGGGACCCUCUCGUACUCAUAGCUAGAGGAAAGGCAGCUGGCACAGGGUCUUUCCUAACAGAAGCCCCAGCCCAAAGCCAUUGUCCCUGGGUGGCUGCCCCUCCAGGGGCCCUGUGUCAGGAUGGGCUCUUUUGCCCUCUGCUGGGCUGGACCAGGUAUCUGCACAGUGGUGGCCAAAUCAGGGACCCCAGCUCCUCCCCAGCGCAGCCAGCAUGCCGUGGCGACUUGCUCACUAGCGACUGCACCUCCCUAGACAGAGCGGGCUGCUUCUAGUGCAAAGCAAGCAGGCGGGCGAGUGGGGCAGGCCCAGGCAGAACAGCAGUGCAGACAGAGGAGGUGGCUCUGCUAUGACGGGGUCCGACGCGGGCUGGGGCUGCUCCUCUCCCUUCCCCUCCCAACGCUGCUGCUUCCCAAAGGCCCUAUUGCUUUUCUCCCUUCCCCUCCAGGACCCAGACAAAGCCUCGUUUCUAGAGACUCAUCUUUUGAGGACUUAGGACUAUUGGGCCUUUAGAGUGGGGAAAGGUGUGAUCCAGCUUGGCAACUCCUGCCCCUGGCCAUCCAGGGGGCAGGGGGCAAGAAGGGGCUGUGGUGCUGGCACCAGGCUCUUGGUCUGGAUGCACCUGGAUGGAGAAACCAAGCCACCUUGCUGCCCCAUCAUCUUGAGGCAAACAAGUUAGCUCGUGCUAUGAAACAAAGUGCCUUGGGCCUCCUACCCCAGUUGCCACCAUGGCUGGUGCUGGUGGCUCUCCUCUUAGACCAAUUUGUGGAGCUCUCUCACCCACUACUUUCACUCCCCCGGUCUAACUGGCCAGCAGGCGGCGUCAUCCGAACUCCGUGAUAACAAGUCUCCUCCAGGCUGGCAGGGCCGGGCCGUGGCCCAGGGGGCACUCCUGGCUAUAGAGGCCUGCCGGCCCGGCCCCCCACGCUCCCUCCCCCGGCUCGGGCACGUUACCUGCUGUGCCAAUGAGUUUCUUGGAUUUGUUGAAGAUCUGAUCACCUGGGUUAGGAGGUGGCGCUACGUCCUGGCCCUGCCGCGCCAGCAGAGGGUUGUAAUCCUUUCCAUCAUAGUUUGCGUCAAAGAAUUUCUUAAACCACUGAAUAAACUCAAAAUUAUCUUGGAAUUUUCCUUUCACUAAUUUCUCUACAGGAAUGAUCUGAAAUAGACCACAUAAGCAGAGUACUUUAGCCACCUGCUGCUGUAGGACCGCCUUCCUCUGCUGAGGGCCACUGCUCUCAGGAAAGCCAGCCCCUGGGCUGCAGCGUCCUCCACCUUCUCCACUUGCCCCCCUCCCACGGCACCAGAGCAGACAGGUAGGCUGGUAGGCCCUAGUGUCAGAUCCAGAGGCAUCCCUUCUCUACAGGCACCGUGUGGAAGAACUGUGUGGGGAGGCGUCCCUUGGCUCUACUGCCUGCGUGUGGGCUGGGGGUCUGCAGCCACCGAGGCAGUAGAGUGAGCAGAGACACUUUCUUGGGCCCUACAGAGACAGAGAGAGGUGGAACUUCACAGGAGCGGUGCACAGAGCUCAGUGUUGGGGUGGGCAGGGUCCAGAGAGGAGGAAGGGAAAGGAAUGUUGUCAUGAUGGCAUGGCAAGUGUUGUGGGCUUUUCCAUUGUGCCUUGAGCAGGGGGAAAAUUCCCUCUGGAGAGUCGGGAGGUGGAGGGAGGCACGAGCACCGGAAUGACCCCAGCAGCCCCAGUUGCCUGGGCUGGUGGGUCCUCUUCUUCCCCAGGGUCACACUGCUCCUCAGGGCCCCCCAGAGCGCAGGCACCUACUUUGUCAACACCCAUCUUCUUGAAAGCUGCUUGCAGCACCUUGAAGUUGUGGAUGUAUUCGUGCUCUAGUUUGGCCUGGAACUUCACUUUCCUCAAGUGCACACAGCCGGGGAAGAGCAUGUCCAUGAACUGGCAGUAGGCUGCCCCUGUGGAGAAGGAUGGCUGGCUGAGGGGUCUUGCUGCUCUCCUUCUGUGAGCUGCUCUCUCUCACUUCCCCAAACCCCGUCUCCUCUUCUCUCUCCUUGUUCUGGGCCAGGGACCAGUCCUACUUUCAGGAUAGACAUGGCCAGAAUCCCCCCAGCUUUCCAAGAAUAAAAGCAAUGACUAUUUAUUGAUGCGUAUUAUGAACCAGCACCACACCAAACACUGCAUGUAGGUAGGGCAAUCCCAACAGGAACUCUAGUUAGUUGGUGAUACUAUCUCCAUCUUAUGGAUGAGAAAACUGAGGCCUAGGGCAGUAUAGUGACUUGCCCAAGGUUGCACCACCAGAAGAGCUGAGAGCUGGACCCAGAGAGGUGUGGUCAGACCUGUGGCUCUGCUGCCAUCCUGGCUCUCAGCUCCCCGCUCCUCCUUUCCCUGCAGUCCUUCAUGGUGCCUCUCCUGCUCUUCUCUUUCCCUGCUUCCAUUUCUUGACUUCAGCUCCAGACAGUCUGACUAGUUCAGGGCCUCCAGCUCUCCUCCUUAAUCUAAUCACAAGCUACAGCUAUGGGCUGCAUAACGAUGGUUUGGUCAACGAUGAACCACAUAUAUGAUGGUGGUCCUACAGGAUUAUAAUACCAUGUUUUUAUUUUAUUAUCACCUUUUCUAUGUUUAGGUAUGUUUAGAUGUGCAAAUACUUACCAUGUGUUAAAACUGUCUGCAGUAUUUAGUACAGAAACAUGCUGUCCAUGUUUUUAGCCUAGGAGUAGUAGGCUAUACCAUAUAGCCGAGGUGUGUAGUAGGCUACACCAUCCAGGUUUGUGUAAAUACACUCUGUGAUGUUCACACAACAACAACAUCGCCUAAGGAUGCAUUUCUCUGGCCACAUCAGUCAUUCAGCCAUGCAUGACUGUAUAUUCCCUGUUGUGGCUGCUCUGCCUUCCGACCUUUCUUUCCUUUCCUUCCAGCAGGGCCACUUCCCAUAUUCCCAGCCUCCUACCUGAACAAAGCUGUUCUAUCUUGGUAUAGUUGAGGUGCAGGGAGUCGUUGACCCAUGCAAGCAUAUCAUGGCGACUCAGAUUUUCACUGGUCACAGAUGUGGAGUACACAUUGACGGCCAUACCCCAGCUGGAAAGCAAGAAGAAAGGUGAGGUCAGCACUGGGGCCUCAUGUAGCUCCUUAGCUGUCAAGAGAGAGGGGCUGUAUGAUACUGGGAAGUAAGAAACAUUCCCUCCAGAUUGGCCUCGCAGUUUAUCCCCAGAGGGAGGGUCUUUAUUCCUUAGACAUUUCAUGAGCAUCUACUAUAUGCUAGACGUGCACCAGGAGCCAGUAAUUCCAAGUUAAUUAAGAAAUGGCCUCUGCCUUGAGGCAUUUACAGACAGGCAGAUCCCCUCAGUAGGGAGUGAUGAGGCAGUGAAACAGGCACAUAAAUGUUCAGGGACAGCACAAAGAAGGGUGUGAGCGCAUCUGCUGGGCAGGGUCAGCGAAGGCUUCAGAGCAGAGAUGUUGGAGCCUGAGAAGAAUAGGAAUUUUCCAGACAUAAAAAGGGAUGGGUGGAAGGCAUUUCAGCCACAGGGACUAGCAAGAACAAAGGCAGAGCUUAUUCCGGGCACUCUGAGUCGUGGAGCAGGCCCGGGGAGCAGAUUUUUCUGUUGGGGUGUGGCACAAUGAGGUUGGCAGGGACAGGUUGCCAGGCCCUUGUUUACCAGAAGGAGGAAUCUGGACUUUCUAUUUGGAUGACAGGAAGCCAUUAGAGGGUUUUAAGCGACAGUAACCUGACCAGAUUUGUGUUUUAGAAAGCCAGCUAACCUUUGCCUCUGCUCCGACUUCAGACUCCACAUUCCUGUGGCUGAUGCAGAGGCAUCUAAAUUCUGCUUGUCCACAACCUUUCCUUAGAAUAUGCUUCUGGCUCCUGUAUUCAUUAUCCCAGUGAAUGUCAUCACCAGCAAUUAAUCACCACCUUAGAAACCUGCGGGGUCAUCCCAGACAGCUUACUCUCCCUCAUGCACCUAUCAAGUCAUUCCUCAAGUCCUGGAACCCGACUUCCUCAAUUCGCCCUUUUCUGCUUACCCUCAGGAUUUAUGCAUACCGUUGUCCCUUGGUAUUCAUGAGGGAAUUUGUUCCAGAACAUCUCCCCAUACCAAAGUCAAUGCACAGUCAAGUCCCUUAUAUAAAAUGAUGUAGUAUUUACAGUUAACCUACACACAUCCUCCUGUAUGAUUUAAAUCAUCUCUAGAUUACUUAUAAUACCUACUACCAUGUCACUUCGAUGUAAAUAGUUGUUAUACUGUAUUGUUUAGGAAAUCAUGACAUGAAAAAAAAGUCUGUAAGCAAUGCAACAAUCCUUUUUUUUUCCUGAAUAUUUUUGAUCGGUAUUUGAUUGAAUCCACAGAUGUGGAUCCCACGGAUGUGAAGGGCUGACUGUAUUUUCUCUCUAGCCCAGGCUAGCAGGAGCCUCCUAAAAGGCCUUCCAGCCUCCAGUCUCUCCCUCCUCUUAAUCCAUCCUUGACAUUGCUGUAGUCAGAAUCUACCUAAAAGCAGGUCUGGCCACCGCCCUCCCCCACUUCAAGUCCUUUCAGCCAGCAGUCAUAAAAGAGACACUCCUUGGCCGAAUUUGCCUUGCAGACUUAAACUGUUCAGCACUCAUAGUGUUGGAAACAGUUUUGAAUUAGUGCCCAAUAUUUUAAAGUUCAGAUGUUUAACAACUUGGGAUUUCUGGCUUCUUUUGGCCACUCUGACCCUAUGCUCCCGCACUGAAACCAGCAGUUGGAGUGGAGCCAGCAGUGAGCCUCCUUCCCACCCCAGAGGCCAAGGGUCAGCUGCUGCUGCUAACUGACUUGCGCUGUUAAGAAAAGGACAUAUUUCUUGUAACCACAUCUUUAUCAGAAAUGGAAAAACAAGAUAGGUCAAAAGGACUGUGUUUUCCGAGAAUUGUGAGGACAUGUGUUUCUGGAGUGAGUGAAGAAUAUUUCUUCAGGUUUAAUAUGUAAAGUGUCUCUGUGAAAUAAGAUACAUCUUAUACACCUUAUAUUCUUACAGAAAGAAUAUUUCCCUGCCUGUCGCAGGCAUCUGCUGUUAUCAUGUGACUCCUCCUGACCACUUAUCAAACUCAUAAGGGGACCCCACCUCUUCAGCCUUAUCUCCUACUUUGAUUCCCCAGUUAGGAGCUAUAGGCAGCUUCCUACUCACCCUCUGUCUGGAAUGCCGUCCCCACCCCAAAGUUCAUUCAUUCUCUGUUCCAUGGUUCUCAAUUGUGGCCCCAGACCUGCGCAGUGGGACUAUAUGGGGAUCAGCUGGUUAGAAAUUCCAAUUCUCUUGUCCUCCCCCAGACCUAACUAAAUGAGAAACUGCCUUUGACCAAGAUGCCCGGAGGAUCUGCAGGCACAGUCCUGUUUGAGUAGUACUGCUUUAGACAGGGAGGCUCAGCAAGGCAUCUGCAGAGCUGUGUGCCACUUACGUUCCCACCCCUGACCCCAAGUACAUAGGACAGAGCAUGUUUAACUUAAAUGAAUGCUUUGAAGAAAAAUCAUGAGAGAAAACCCUCUUCUUUAUUCCUAGUUCUUCCUCCUUUGAAAAAUAAACCUUGUCCUUCAUUGCCCAGGCAAAGGGAGGCCAGGCGGGGCCAAAAAGCCAAGAGAAACAGAAAUGAAUUAUUGUCUUGGGAGCGCCUAAAGACUCAAGACCUGGCAAUUUCAGAGCUUUCCGAGAGUAAUGUUGACUGCACUUGAGUUUCCUCCUCCACAACGUCUCUGCGCCCACUGCCCUGCAUCUUGGCCCUUGCGCUCACCAUUGGACUUGUUUAAAUGCCUGCGCCCCAUGUCUUGAAGCCAAGAGUGGGGUAUCCAGGCCUGUCACAGGCAAGACGUUCAGUAACGUUGAACCAUUGAGUGAUGCCUCAUGUCCUCUCCUCUUUCUGAAUCAUGUCUCAUCACCUUCUGGCCUGGGUCCCCCUGCCAUCCCCCUGCCAUACCCCCACCAUCCCCCCGCCAUCCUCCCUCCCCCAGCACUCAGCCUCAGGACUCUGCUUUAGCUCCAGGGGACUUUUUCUGACCCCCUCUGUGGGAGACAUGUGCCCAUGAUCCUACAGCACCCUGGGCACGGCUCUUCAUGGCAUCCCACAUGGUCUGUUGAAAUCAUGUGUGUGAGAGCGGGUGCGGUGGCUCAUGCCUGUAAUGCCAGCACUUUGGGAGGCUGAGGGGGGUGCCGAUCACCUAAGCCAGGAGUUCAAGACCAGCCUGGCCAACAUGGCAAAACCCUGUCUCUACUAAAAUUAGCCAGGCCUGUAAUCCUAGCUACUAGGGAGGCUGAG
rnacentral:lncRNA from 10 species